UACGUAGGGGGCAAGCGUUGUCCGGAUUUAUUGGGCGUAAAGAGCGUGUAGGCGGCUUUACAGGUCCGUUGUGAAAACUCGAGGCUCAACCUCGAGACGCCGGUGGAAACCGUAAGGCUAGAGUCCGGAAGAGGAGAGUGGAAUUCCUGAUGUAGCGGUGAAAUGCGCAGAUAUCAGGAGGAACACCCGUGGCGAAAGCGGCUCUCUGGGACGGUACUGACGCUGAGACGCGAAAGCGUGGGGAGCAAACAGG
rnacentral:rRNA from 1 species